GCUUAUUGAAAAUGUCAGUAUAUUUCACUCCGCUGAAUUUCUUGUGUGCAGGAUGGCAAGGAACACAAAACAGGCCUUCAAAUCUCUACCUAAGAAUGCUUAACAGCAUUUGAUUGUGAACCACAUACUGUUGACCAUUGGAUUCAGCUCAUUUUGAUCAAGAGCUCAGGAGAGCUUUACUUUUUUGAACUGUUUAUUCACCCAUAUCAGAACCCAAGGAUGAAGGGUGCAAAAUCUAUUGAAGCCAGGCCUUUUUGCAUGUGUAGCUCUCUUGCUUUGCACACAAGUUUAUUUGA